rnacentral:lncRNA from 1 species
GCCUAAAUUAGUUACUAUCUGACUCCCCAGAAAAGGUCUCCAACUCGCCCAAUACCUGGAUCAACACAACGAAAGCACAGAAAGUGGACAAACAGAAGGAGAACAACUAUGAAGGCUCAUGAAAACUCAUGAUUUAAAGAUCACAUUUCUCCACCUGGACUGAUUUAAGAAUUGAGGUUAGUUGACUACUAUUAGCAAGACUUGCAAUUAUGGCAUGCAGGCACAUCCUCUUCUGUUCACUUGAGUUAUUUCUGUAUAGCAGUAGAUCAUGAGGACAUGGACAAAGGCAUUGCACCUACUUUCUCCUUGAGCAAUUUCCAUUGAUGUCUGUGAUGCUGAUACUGAAUUACAGAAUCCCGAGGAUUCUGUAUUGUUGUAGUUCUAAACCUUUUGCUGUGGAGGUUAGCCUGUGGAUAGGAAGAGUCAAACAAGAACAACUUAUACAGUUUCUCUGGCUAGAAAAUGAACAAUACAUGCUUCCUGUCCUUAUGAUGUUCCCACAUGUGGAUGGUGAAGCAGGCACCAAGAUGACUAAGCUAGAACAACAAGAUUUGGUGAAUCCAGAGCUGACGAAUAACAGUUCAUCUGGCAUGGAAGCAAAGGAAGAAGUUCCAGGGAAGGCAAAGGCCCAAAUUUGUGAAUCUGUGUGCCAUGUGCUGGGGAAAAUUGAAACCUUCCAAUGAACUAGAAUGAAUGUUGUGUGUAUGGGAAGCCUAUGGACUCAAUGAGAAGAAUAAUUAGUGAAUGUGUCCAUGUUGUCUAUAUUUUACAUGGGUCAGAAGGAAGGAUUGAGUGCAGAAGACAAAAUGUUAAUCGGAAGUGGGGUCAUUUUCAUAUUUAGGCUUAAACAAGAAUAUAGACAUUACUAUUAAAGCAUAGAAAUAAAAAAAUGAUGAUAUUUUUAAGUGUCAUAACUUCUAACUAUUUGCCAUCAUAUUUUUGGUUUACUCCCUUUCAAAUACACUUAAGCGUAAGUGUAGCCUAGAAGAGAGCAAGACCCAAUAUUUGGCUAGUUCAGGGAGUGACUUACAAGCAAAGCAGUUCCACCCAUGACCAAUUUCUUAAAUUUCUGGAGCAACCCAAGUAGCAAGACUGGGAAAAUAUGACUGAAUUUGCAAAAAAUCAAGUCACUUCUUUGGAAAGAUGUUAAACUCCAAAGAUCAAUGUAUAGACCUUUCCACUUAGCUUACAACUAGAUAAAACAUUCUUUUGACAUGAAAUGGCUUAGGACAAAUGCUUUAACAAAAGAACUGAUUAAACACUGCUGUUACUAAAGCCUCACAAUAGUUAAUGCACUUAAAGAGUUCUAAAUCGGCUGAGCAUUGACGUCUUAAAGGAUUAUAUUGAGUGUCACCAUAUACACAGGAAAGUCUCCUUCAAAACCUACUAUGGAGUAUAAUGGACUAUACAUGUUAUUGUAAACAAAUUGGCAAGAUUCGAGGUUUUCUCUGGAUUCUAGCAUCUUUAAAAAGAGAAUGUCUGUUGUUUUAUAAAAGCAUUUAUUUACAUCUUUAUCAGGUAUCCUCCAGUCCCAAAUGUGAGAGGUUAGGGCAAUCUGUGGAUUGGGGUGGCUUUCUCUUCUAAGUCACUCCCAGACUAGGGAAGUGACUCAGAAGAGUCACUGAGUGGGGAAACACAGAACCAGGGAUGGCUCUGUAGCUCUGACCUAACUUAAAGCUCCAGAUUGGUCUGACCUUUUCUCACUUUGCGAUUCAGACCUGAAAAAAAUGAGGCCAAAGUUGGCUCAUCUUCCUCCCUUGAAAAUGUUCUAAGGAGAUGAACCACAUCCUGUCCUAUCUCCCCCAAACCAUACCUCAGCACAGGGGCUUGUUUCAUUGGUACAAGAAUAAGUUGUCUUUCUUUUGCUAGAAAGCUCACAACUUUAAAACCUACAAAAAAUGAAUGAAUUAUAAUCUAGAACUUCAGAUAUCUGUAUCAUAAUAGUUGGAUAUGCUUAUGGAGUAUGAUAUGAUCUUUUGCAGCAAAAUCUCACUUUGUACUCAACAAAUACAUACAAUUAUUAUUUGAAAGUUCAAUUAAUUAGUUUAAAAAUCUGUAGAAAUAUCAGUGUCUUCUGGGGAGGAAAUUAUUACGUGCAUGUCAAGAUUUGCCAAAAUUUUAAUACUUUGUUACCCUAUGUCACUUUUGUGAAGUGAUUAUAGGGAUAUUUUUCUAAAUAUAGAGUUUAUCAUAAGGAAGUUUUGUUAACAAUAGAAUCUUAAAAGUGCACUAGGAUAUUCAUUGCAAUUUUGUUUUUAAAAGUAAAAAAACAUUGGCUGGAUGUGGUGGCUUAUGCUUGUA